GCCGGCGUAGCUCAGUCGGUAGAGCAACUGAUUUGUAAUCAGUGGGUCGUGGGUUCGAUUCCUGCCGCCGGCACCA
rnacentral:tRNA from 1 species